ensembl:lncRNA
GCAGGGUUAAUAGUCCAGGGUUAAUAUUCCAGGGUUAAUCAUCCAGGGUUAAUAGUUCCAGGGUUAAUAGUCCAGGGUUAAUAGUUCCAGAGUUAAUAGUUCCAGGGUUAAUAGAGCAGGGUUAAUAGUUCCAGGGUUAAUAGAGCAGGGUUAAUAGUUCCAGGGUUAAUAAUUCCAGGGUUAAUAGUUCCAGGGUUAAUAAUCCAGGGUUAAUAGUUCCAGGGUUAAUAGUUCAAGGGUUAAUAAUCCAGGGUUAA